rnacentral:tRNA from 1 species
ACUUUUAAAGGAUAGUAGUAAUCCGCUGGUCUUAGGAACCAUUCACCUUGGUGCAAAUCCAAGUAGAAGUA